rnacentral:misc_RNA from 1 species
UCCGGUUUGACACCGGCAGUCUCGCUAGAGUACUCGGCAUUACCCGUGAGCAACUAACGACAGGGGUUGCGCUCGUUAAGGGACUUAACCCGACACUUCACAGCACGAGCUGACGACAGCCAUGCAGCACCUGUGCACGUUCCGGCCUUGCGGCUGUGGCCCCGCUUUCACGGGGUUAAUACGUACAUGUCAAGCCCAGGUAAGGUUCUUCGCGUUGCCUCGAAUUAAGCAACAUGCUCCACCGCUUGUGUGAGCCCCCGUCAAUUCAUUUGAGUUUUAGCCUUGCGGCCGUACUCCCCAGGCGGAGUGCUUAACGCGUUAGCUGCGGCACGGAGAUCGUGGAAAGAUUUCCACACCUAGCGCCCAACGUUUACGGCGUGGACUA